AUGCUCAGUAAAAUUUGCAUUUCAGAUGAACAACAUGAUUUUUUAGUACAAAUAUGCCCCCAACAUCAUCCGUACCAUUUAUCUGAAAUUGCAGAAGUACCUGGACCUUCGGAUCGUAUCUGGCAAUUCCAGCUGCAGGCCACUGCAAGGGGGCAGGGCCCAUCUCCUUCCCCAGGCCCUGGGGGGCAAAAGCAGCCAGAGGUCUUCAGCUCCAGGGCCACUGCGGUCAUCAUGAGGAAACAAACGUAUCGAGAGAUGGGUGGCCAGAUUUAUAACCCAUCCCUGUGUAAUUGAGAGAUAGCUUUUGAUUUCAAUGAAAGGACAACUGCAUGACGGAUUGUGACGAAGAGGAAGAGGAGUGACGAUGCUGAUGACGUACCCAAGGACAGAGGCGGCAAGACGCAUUUGUCAAGUGAUAAGACAUCAUCCGACCACCCUACUCCCUUUUAUGGUUACAACUGGCCAAAUGAUCUCAAAUCUUGCUAAUUAAAAAGGGGGGGAGGGUGACACAGCUAAAAGCAGAAGCAGCGUCUUUGAUGCUUCGAAAUGGGAAGACGUCUGCUGAUUUUCUUAGGCUGACCUACCUAGAGAAAGCAAUAGCUCAGAAAUAUUUAACCAGUGAGUAUUUUCACCUUUAUUGAUUGUUCUUGUACGUACCUCUAGUUAUUAAAACUUGAUUUAUAAUAGACUAUCAAAAUAUUUGAGACUUUUUUUUAAAGUUUCAUGUUCGCAGGAUUUGAUUUCUAGAGACUGAAAAAAAAUGAACGAGUGUAAAGUAAUAUGAUUUUUUUCCCAUGACCAGCACAGUUUGGGG
rnacentral:lncRNA from 1 species